CGAACUCCGGUCAGCUGACACAUCCCUGCCAAUCUCCGGCAGACCCUCCCUCCCAGACCCUCCUACUUUCUGUACAGCAACCAUGUUGAAGGCAGGUGGGAGGAUCUGGGAGGGAGGGUCUGCCGGAGAUUGGCAGGGAUGUGUCAGCUGACCGG